GGUUUUGAUAGUUUAGGACCCCGUUGCAUCUGGUUUUUUGGUUGAAGGAUGAAAAUCGGAUUUGUUGACAAGUUAAGGGACCUCAGAUGAAAUUAUUCCUGUGAAAUAUGAUUCCCGCAUACGAGUACGAGAUACGAUCUCAUCCUUUGGUAAAUGAUCUUCUUGUGAGAUGUUUAAGAUCAUCAGAUUUUUUUUUGUUUCCUUAGAUCAAAGAGAAGAUCACGAUCACGGCGGGCAGUGACAACAAACGACUAGGCCCACGUUAGCCCAUCUGGCACAGCACAGCCCAUACGACGACCACACAUCAAAAGGAAAAAGUACACCGAAGGUCCCUCAAUUUGUCAUCGAGUUACAAAAUCGUCCUCCAACCGCAAAACCAGAUAUCCGACGUCCCUUAACUAAUCAAAACCGGUUACAAUAGGUCUUCCAGUGAUUUUGACCCGGUUUUAUCCUACAUGGCGGCUGAAUCAGCAUGAGACCCACGUGGGACCCAUAUAUCAGCCUGCCACGUCAUCUCUCUCUCCCAUCUUCCUCCUCCUCUCACUCUCUUACUCUUCUCUUCUCUUCUCAUGUUCUCUGGGCAAGCCGGGGAGGAGGCCGCCAGGGUGAGGCCGCUGGGGAGGAGCACGUGGGGAGAGCGAAGGAGGAGCUUGGAGAGGGCUGGCUGUCUCCUCGUCCGACGCGAGGCGCCGCGGUGGCGGCAAGCGAUGGAGGGCGGUGGGCGGCAGGAGUGGAGCUGGGCGGCGGCGGCGGCUGGCGGGAGAGGGCGGCCGCCAUGGCCUGCCGCAGAGGUGGCCCGCCACCCACGGAUGAAGCCGAGUCGUGGCUCCUCAGGGUGGCGACGUCUCGCGCUGUCGCGCAAGGUUGAUGUGAUGGAAAAUGACUGAAGUUUGGAUCCAAACUUUAGAUCUAAACACAGCCUAUAUGAUGAAGAAGCCGAGAACAGAUCAGAUUAUAGUAGCAGUAUGGAACAGUAGUUGUGAGAUAUCCACCUUCCCUUCCUCCUUUUGACUGAAGUAGCAAGGGACUAUCAGAUUAUGUUAAAAAGUGUGUCACGAGUAUCUAAAAUUUCAUCCAAUUAUUAUUGGAGAAACGAACACAGCCUAUGAUGAAGAAGCCGAUAACAGAUCGAAUUAUAGUAGCAGUAUGGAACAGUAGUUAUGAGAUA